GACGAACGCUGGCGGCGUGCUUAACACACGCAAGUCGAACGGAAAGGCCCUGCUUUUGUGGGGUGCUCGAGUGGCGAACGGGUGAGUAACACGUGAGUAACCUGCCCUUGACUUUGGGAUAACUUCAGGAAACUGGGGCUAAUACCGGAUAGGAGCUCCUGCUGCAUGGUGGGGGUUGGAAAGUUUCGGCGGUUGGGGAUGGACUCGCGGCUUAUCGGCUUGUUGGUGGGGUAGUGGCUUACCAAGGCUUUGACGGGUAGCCGGCCUGAGAGGGUGACCGGCCACAUUGGGACUGAGAUACGGCCCAGACUCCUACGGGAGGCAGCAGUGGGGAAUAUUGCACAAUGGGCGGAAGCCUGAUGCAGCAACGCCGCGUGCGGGAUGACGGCCUUCGGGUUGUAAACCGCUUUCGCCUGUGACGAAGCGUGAGUGACGGUAAUGGGUAAAGAAGCACCGGCUAACUACGUG
rnacentral:rRNA from 1 species